rnacentral:rRNA from 1 species
GAGUUUGAUCUUGGCUCAGAUUGAACGCUGGCGGCAUGCCUUACACAUGCAAGUCGAACGGCAGCACGGGAGCUUGCUCCUGGUGGCGAGUGGCGAACGGGUGAGUAAUGCAUCGGAACGUAUCCUGGAGUGGGGGAUAACGUAGCGAAAGUUACGCCAAUACCGCAUAUUCUGUGAGCAGGAAAGCGGGGGACCUUCGGGCCUCGCGCUCUUGGAGCGGCCGAUGUCGGAUUAGCUAGUUGGUGAGGUAAAGGCUCACCAAGGCGACGAUCCGUAGCAGGUCUGAGAGGAUGAUCUGCCACACUGGAACUGAGACACGGUCCAGACUCCUACGGGAGGCAGCAGUGGGGAAUUUUGGACAAUGGGGGCAACCCUGAUCCAGCCAUGCCGCGUGAGUGAAGAAGGCCUCGGUUGUAAG